AUUGAACGCUGGCGGCAUGCCUUACACAUGCAAGUCGAACGGUAACAGGUCUUCGGAUGCUGACGAGUGGCGAACGGGUGAGUAAUACAUCGGAACGUGCCUAGUAGUGGGGGAUAACUACUCGAAAGAGUGGCUAAUACCGCAUGAGAUCUACGGAUGAAAGCAGGGGAUCGCAAGACCUUGUGCUACUAGAGCGGCCGAUGGCAGAUUAGGUAGUUGGUGGGAUAAAAGCUUACCAAGCCGACGAUCUGUGGCUGGUCUGAGAGGACGAUCAGGCAGACUGGGACUGAGACAGAGCACAGACUCCUGCGGGGGGCAGCAGUGGGGAAUGUUGGACAAUGGACGCAAGCCUGAUCCAGCAAGGCCGCGUGCAGGAUGAAGGCCUUCGGGUGGUUGACUGCUUUUGUACGGAACGAAAAGCCCUGGGUUAAUACCCUGGGGUCAUGACGGUACCGUAAGAAUAAGCACCGGCUAACUACGUGCCAGCCGCCGCAGUAACAC
rnacentral:rRNA from 1 species